UGAAACUGCGAAUGGCUCAUUAAAUCAGUUAUCGUUUAUUUGAUAGUACUUCACUACAUGGACAACUGUGGUAAUUCUAGAGCUAAUACAUGCUAAAAACCCCGACUUCGGAAGGGGUGUAUUUAUUAGAUAAAAAACCAAUGCCCUCCGGGGCUCCUUGGUGAAUCAUAAUAACUUAACGAAUCGCAUGGCCUUGAGCCGGCGAUGGUUCAUUCAAAUUUCUGCCCUAUCAACUUUCGAUGGUAGGAUAGUGGCCUACCAUGGUUUCAACGGGUAACGGGGAAUUAGGGUUCGACUCCGGAGAGGGAGCCUGAGAAACGGCUACCACAUCCAAGGAAGGCAGCAGGCGCGCAAAUUACCCAAUCCCGACACGGGGAGGUAGUGACAAUAAAUACUGAUACAGGGCUCUUUCGGGUCUUGUAAUUGGAAUGAGUACAAUUUAAAUCCCUUAACGAGGAACAAUUGGAGGGCAAGUCUGGUGCCAGCAGCCGCGGUAAUUCCAGCUCCAAUAGCGUAUAUUAAAGUUGUUGCAGUUAAAAAGCUCGUAGUUGAACCUUGGGCCUGGCUGGCCGGUCCGCCUCACCGCGUGUACUGGUCCGGCCGGGCCUUUCCUUCUGGGGAGCCGCAUGGCCUUCACUGGCCGUGUCGGGGAACCAGGACUUUUACUUUGAAAAAAUUAGAGUGUUCAAAGCAGGCCUUUGCUCGAAUACAUUAGCAUGGAAUAAUAGAAUAGGACGUGCGGUUCUAUUUUGUUGGUUUCUAGGACCGCCGUAAUGAUUAAUAGGGACAGUCGGGGGCAUCCGUAUUCAAUUGUCAGAGGUGAAAUUCUUGGAUUUAUUGAAGACGAACUACUGCGAAAGCAUUUGCCAAGGAUGUUUUCAUUAAUCAGUGAACGAAAGUUAGGGGAUCGAAGACGAUCAGAUACCGUCGUAGUCUUAACCAUAAACUAUGCCGACUAGGGAUCGGUGGGUGUUAUUAUUUUGACCCCAUCGGCACCUUACGAGAAAUCAAAGUUU
rnacentral:rRNA from 1 species